UACGAAGGUCCCGAGCGUUGUUCGGAAUCACUGGGCGUAAAGGGAGCGUAGGCGGCGCGGUAAGUCGGGUGUGAAAUCUCGGGGCUUAACUCCGAAACUGCAUUCGAUACUGCCGUGCUUGAGGACUGGAGAGGGGACUGGAAGUUUACUGGUGUAGCGGUGAAAUGCGUAGAGAUCGGGAGGAACACCUGUGGCGAAGGCGGCCCCCUGGGCCG
rnacentral:rRNA from 1 species